rnacentral:lncRNA from 1 species
UUCCAACGACGAUGAUGAUGAUGAUGAUGAUGAUGAUGAAGGCUCUUCCAAUAUUGAUGAUGAUGAUGAUGAAGAUGAUGAUGAUGAUGAAGAUGAUGAUGAUGAAGAUGAAGGCUCUUCCAAUGACGAUGAUGAUGAUGAUGAAGGCUCUUCUUCUUCUUCUUCUU